ACAGUGUAGAAAGGUCCUCACAAUGUAGAGAUGUCCUCACAAUGUAGAAAUGUCCUCACAGUGUAGGAAGGUCCUCACAAUGUAGAAAUGUCCCUUAAAAUAUAGAAAUGUCCUCACAAUGUAGAGAUGUCCUCAUAGUUGUAGGAAGGUCCUCACAAUGUAGAAAUGUCCUCACAAUGUAGGAAGGUCCUCACAAUGUAGAAAUGUCCCUUAAAAUAUAGGAAGGUCC